UACGUAGGGGCAAGCGUUGUCCGGAUUUAUUGGGCGUAAAGAGCGUGUAGGCGGCUAGAUAGGUCCGUUGUGAAAACUCGAGGCUCAACCUCGAGACGCCGAUGGAAACCAUCUAGCUAGAGUCCGGAAGAGGAGAAUGGAAUUCCUGGUGUAGCGGUGAAAUGCGCAGAUAUCAGGAAGAACACCCGUGGGCUAAGGCGGUUCUCUAGUACGGUACUGACGCUGGAGAACGCGAAAGCGUGGGGAGCGAACAGG
rnacentral:rRNA from 1 species